CAUGCAUGCACGCACGCACGCACGCACGCAUAAUACACAUACAUUACAUCGUCGUACAUACUCGCACGUAGAAAAAAGGAUAAAAACUUUAUACCCCGAGAACAAAUUGUAGGAGGAAAAACAUCAUGGCAAUUUAUGUACACGUUUACGUGUUUUCUGUGUCUGCGCAAUAGACAAGUAGGUGUUAAUUGAAUGCGAAAUCGGAUGAACGAGUAAAUCGUUAAAUAUAUAUAUAUUACAGAUAUAAAUAUAAAUAUAUAAAUAAAUAUAUAUAAAAAUAUAUAUAUAUAUAUAUAUAUACAUAUAUAUGAUCGUAGAAGUGCGUGCGGGACCUCGACGCGAGGAUGCACGUACUUCUGCGACGCGAUGUCGAUAUCUUACAAUUUUUUCUAAUCGCUGGAGGAAAAAUGGGGAGAACUAGAAGGAAAAGUACGAUUCCCCACGAAACACCCGUUGUCGUUUAUAGUUGUUCCUUUCCUGAGGCAUCUUGUGCAUGCAAAAAAAAAAAGACGUGAGGUGAAAAAUUCCUUCGACACUAACGGAGAACGAACGAUAAAUAAUAGAAGAAAAAAAAUCUUGGUUAUGUGCUUUUUCUAUUGCCACUGGUUGGCGCUGGUGUUUCUGGUCGUUGAAAUUUCACGAUCGACCCGCAAGAUGUCUCGCGAGCGGAGCAGGUGGGAAUUCGCGCGCGUGUGCACGCAUGGGAUGGAAACGAAAAAGGUACAUAUAAGAAACGACGCAAGAAUGGGGAAAGAAAUAAAAGAACUGAAAAACGAUAACUGCCUCAAGCAACUUAAAAAGGAAAAGAACUAAACAAAAAAAAAAAGAAAAAGAUAAUGCGACUUGUGUAUCGCAUCCCGGACGGGAACCCCUGCCAAACGAAAACGUACACGUGUAAUGUAAAGUAGUGAGAGUAAAGAACCUUUAGUGUCACAUAUCACGCCAAGCUGUUACGAGCGAAAACGGACAAUGUCGCGUUCGUGGACGAUCAGUGACGAGAAAGAGAGAGAGAGAAAAGAAAGAGUGAAAGAGUGCGCUGCUAUCGCGAUGGCAGAACGAUUGAUGCGACGAAAAGAACGAACGCGACGUUAGAGAAACGAGAGGGAGGAGUUUAUAACGAGUAUUUGUAAGCCACUUUUUGUCACGAUGAUUGUCAAUAAAAUGGAAAAUACUGUGUGUAACGAGUGUGUCCCGGAAUUUCAUCCAUCGAGUUGGUUAUUCCGUUAGGUAUGAUGAUUUUUCUCUUUUUUUUUUCAUCUUGCAUCUUUUUCUUUCUCUUUUACGCAAAGAGUCGUUUGUAACAGGCGAGUUGUGUGUAUUUAAAAGUUCGGAAUAGCCGUGUCUCCCUCUUUUUUCUUUUGUACGUUUUCCUCGUUUGGCUUUUACGUUCGUUUUCCUGAAAAUACUGUGGAUCCUCUGUUUAGUCCAUUUCUAUGUUCGACCGCCAUCUUUUAUAUACAUACAAGUUUUUUACGUUGCCAUAGUAGAUAACGAGUAACCGACAACCGAUGAUCAUAUCGUUAUACAUACACAUAUAUUGAAAUCAAAAUUGUAUACGAUUUUUAAUAUACUUUAUUAUUAUUUAA